rnacentral:lncRNA from 1 species
CUGAUACUAUUAAAUAUAGAUGUCUGGACCGAAUUGAGCUUACACGACAAUUGCAGUCAAGAUUCUGCAACUCAGAACGGGCAAACCAGUCUGGAAGCUGGGAAGCCUAAGAUCAAGGAACUGAAAGAGCUGGCGUCUAGUGAGGACUGGGUCUCCACUUCCAAGAUGGUGCCUUGAAUGCUGCAUCCUCCAGAGGCGGGGAGCGCCAUUCCUCACAUGACAGAAGAGUGGAAGAGCAAGAGAGAGAAACUCACUCCUGAAAGUCCUCUUUAAAAAAGCAUUAAGCUUGCCCAUGAAGGUAGCGCCC